AAGCAGGGGAUCGCAAGACCUUGCGCUUUUGGAGCGGCCGAUGUCUGAUUAGCUAGUUGGUAGGGUAAAGGCUUACCAAGGCAACGAUCAGUAGUUGGUCUGAGAGGACGACCAGCCACACUGGGACUGAGACACGGCCCAGACUCCUACGGGAGGCAGCAGUGGGGAAUUUUGGACAAUGGGCGAAAGCCUGAUCCAGCCAUGCCGCGUGAGUGAAGAAGGCCUUCGGGUUGUAAAGCUCUUUCAGUCGAGAAGAAAAAAUUGCGACUAAUAAUCGCAAUUCAUGACGGUAUCGACAGAAGAAGCACCGGCUAACUACGUGCCAGCAGCCGCGGUAAUACGUAGGGUGCAAGCGUUAAUCGGAAUUACUGGGCGUAAAGGGUGCGCAGGCGGCCUUGUAAGUCAGAUGUGAAAUCCCCGGGCUUAACCUGGGAACUGCGUUUGAAACUACAAAGCUAGAGU
rnacentral:rRNA from 1 species